UACGGAGGGGGCUAGCGUUGUUCGGAAUUACUGGGCGUAAAGCGCACGUAGGCGGCUUUGUAAGUUAGAGGUGAAAGCCCGGGGCUCAACCCCGGAACUGCCUUUAAAACUGCAUCGCUUGAAUCCGGGAGAGGUGAGUGGAAUUCCGAGUGUAGAGGUGAAAUUCGUAGAUAUUCGGAAGAACACCAGUGGCGAAGGCGGCUCACUGGACCGGUAUUGACGCUGAGGUGCGAAAGCGUGGGGAGCAAACAGG
rnacentral:rRNA from 1 species